AUUGAACGCUGGCGGCAGGCCUAACACAUGCAGGUAGAGCGGAGCGGCGGACGGGUGAGUAAUUCCAAGGAAUCUGCCUGGUAGUGGGGGAUAACGUCCGGAAACGGGCGCUUAUACCGCAUACUAUCAGAUGAGCCUAGUUCGGACUAGCUAGUUGGUGGGGUAAAGGCCUACAAAGGCGACGAUCCGUAACUGGUUGGAGAGGAUGAUCAGUCACACUGCAACUGAGACAAGGUCCAGACGACUACGGUAGUGAGCCGUGGGGAAUAUUGAACAAAGGGCGAAAGCCAGCUGCAGGCAUGCCGCGUGUGUUAAGAAGGUAUUAGGAUUGUAAAGCACUUUAAGUUGGGAGACGUAACCAACAGAUUAAGCCCCGGCUAACUUCGUGCCAGCAGCCGCGGUAAUAC
rnacentral:rRNA from 1 species